rnacentral:sRNA from 1 species
CACAACAGCAAUUUUCGCCGAGUUGACCGCUUUGUCCACAUAAUUACUGGGCGUGGUCUCCACAGUAGGAACAGGAUUCCUAUAAUUAAGCCAGCUGUACAGAGCUACCUGGACAAGCAUAACUAUACACAUGAAUGGAAGAACAGCGGAGGAUUAGUUACCAUCGAUCUUUUCACAAAAAGACGAAAUUACAUGUGAGCUUUCGUAUAGGAUGCAACUCUAAUAAUACGAGUCACAGAAAAGGGAGACAACCAAAGAGAAUGUUUUACUCUCCCUAAUUCUCUGUUAACAUUGUCCUCUCCUUGGGGUUUUAAACCAGAGUCUCUUUAUGCUGACAUGCAGGAGUAGUGUGGUUAUGAGAGGCAAUCCUUUUUCACCUGGAUCUAUGACCGUCGACCCUCAGAAAAUUGAGACUGAAAGUAGAAUCAAUGAAGCAGGCUCCUUUUAAUUCAUUAAAUAUACAACCAGUUUUGCGAGUUUGAUGGGUUAAUCUAAAUAUAGAUAUUUAUUGUCCUUUUUUAUUACAAAUGUUACGCAUUCGCGAAGCAAACCAUAUCAGAAAAAUUAAUUUACCAAUGUUAUUUUACAUAGGCCUAUAGGUCUAUAUCAUUUUGUAGCGCUAAUGCCCAGCUGAAACCUUGAGGUCCUCUCUAGCACCACCAAAUGUAAAGAGCUACAAAAAUUAUAUACUUCUUCUUUCGUUCUAUUUCGAUCGGGUAAAAUAUGAAUCUUAAUAAAAAA